UUAAGAUAGUAAGAGCAUACGGUGGAUGCCUUGGCGAUAUCUGCCGAUGAAGGACGCGACAAGCUGCGAAAAGCUGCGGUGAGGUGCAAAUGACCUUUGACCCGCAGAUGUCCGAAUGGAGCAAUCCGGCUGUGGUUAUGCACAGUCACCCAUGCCUGUGAGUAUGGGAGGGAACCAGGCGAACUGAAACAUCUAAGUAGCCUGAGGAGAAGUAAUCAAACGAGAUACCCCCAGUAGCGGCGAGCGAACGGGGCAGAAGCCCAAACCGCAGAAGGAAACUUUUACGGGGUUGAGGGCCGUCAUACGAACGUGGAAUCCAGCUGAAGCUUCUGGGAAGGAGCGCCGCAGGAUGUGAAAGCCAUGUAAGCGAAAGAGGAAGCGGAACAGACGGUACCAGAGUACCGCGGGACACGAGAAACCCCGUGGGAAGCAGGGGGGACCACCCUCCAAGGCAAAACACAGAUAUCGACCGAUAGCGCAUAGUACCAUGAGGGAAAGGUGAAAAGCACCCCGGGAGGGGAAUGAAACAGAACCUGAAACCGUAUGUUUACAAGCAGUCGGAGACCGUAUAUAUAUCAGGUCGACGGCGUGCCUAUUGAAGAAUGAACCGGCGAGUUAUGAGGUCCAGCGAGGUUAAGCAGGAAAUGCGGAGCCGAAGCGAAAGCGAGUCUUAACAGGGCGAAUAGUUGGACUGCAUAGACCCGAAACCACAGUGAUCUACCCAUGUCCAGGUUGAAGCACAGGUAAAAAUGUGUGGAGGACCGAACCUAUAUCCGUUGAAAAGGGUUAGGAUGAGGUGUGGGUAGGGGUGAAAUUCCAAUCGAACGUGGAGAUAGCUGGUUCUCCCCGAAAUAGCUUUAGGGCUAGCCUCAGGGUAAAGAUUGCAGGCGGUAGAGCACUGAUCAGGAGAGGGACCUACCCGGUUACCAAACCCAGUCAAACUACGAAUGGCUGCAAUUAUACCUGGGAGUCAGACUACGACUUAUAAGGGCCGUGGUCAAAAGGGAAACAGCCCAGAUCAUCAGCUAAGGUCCCAAAUGCCGUGCUAAGUGGCGAAGGAUGUGGCGUUUCAUAAACAACCAGGAUGUUGGCUCAGAAGCAGCCACCAUUUAAAGAGUGCGUAAUAGCUCACUGGUCGAGAGACGCUGCGCCGAAAAUGUCCGGGGCUCAAGCACGGAACCGAAGCUAUGGCAUUGCGUAAGCAAUGGGUAGGGGAGCGUUCUUAUGGGGAAGAAGCAUUACCGUAAGGAGAUGUGGACACAUAAGAAGUGAGAAUGCCGGUAUGAGUAUCGAAAAGAAAGGUGAGAAUCCUUUCCACCGAAAGCCCGAGGGUUCCUGAGCAACGAUCGUCGUCUCAGGGUAAGUCGGGACCUAAGCCGAGGCACAGACGCAUAGGCGAUGGACAACAGGUUGAAAUUCCUGUACCGGAUGGAGUCAUUUGAGCAAUGGAGUGACGCAGGAGGGCACAUGAUCGCGCGACUGGAAGAGCGCGUCCAAGUGCGUAUGUUGAAUCGGAGGCAAAUCCCCGAUUCUGAAAGCAGAGACAUGAUGGGGAGUUAUAAGCGAUUAUGACGAACUCAUGGAUCCCACACUGCCAAGAAAAACUUCUAGCGAGACGAAAUCCGCCCGUACCGUAAACCGACACAGGUAGGCGGGGAGAGAAUCCUAAGGUGCGCGGGAAAACCCUCGUUAAGGAACUCGGCAAAUUGCAUCCGUAACUUCGGGAGAAGGAUGGCCCUGAGUAGGCGAAGUGCAGAAACGCACGGAACAGAAAAGGGUGGCAGAAAAGAGGCCCAAGCAACUGUUUACCAAAAACACAGGUGCCUGCGAAAGCGAAAGCUGAAGUAUAGGUGCUGACGCCUGCCCGGUGCUGGAAGGUUAAGGAGAGAGGUUAGCGCAAGCGAAGCUUUGAACUGAAGCCCCAGUGAACGGCGGCCGUAACUAUAACGGUCCUAAGGUAGCGAAAUUCCUUGUCAGGUAAG
rnacentral:rRNA from 1 species